rnacentral:rRNA from 2 species
UACCAUGCAGUCGAGCGGAAGGCCCUUUCGGGGGUACUCGAGCGGCGAACGGGUGAGUAACACGUGAGUAAUCUGCCCUUGGCUUUGGGAUAACCACCGGAAACGGUGGCUAAUACCGGAUAUGACCACUCCCGGCAUCGGGUGGUGGUGGAAAGUUUUUUCGGCCAGGGAUGUGCUCGCGGCCUAUCAGCUUGUUGGUGGGGUAAUGGCCUACCAAGGCUUCGACGGGUAGCCGGCCUGAGAGGGUGACCGGCCACACUGGGACUGAGACACGGCCCAGACUCCUACGGGAGGCAGCAGUGGGGAAUAUUGGACAAUGGGCGGAAGCCUGAUCCAGCAACGCCGCGUGAGGGAUGACGGCCUUCGGGUUGUAAACCUCUUUCAGUACCGACGAAGCGCCGAUGAUGGUGGUGACGGUAGGUACAGAAGAAGCACCGGCCAACUACGUGCCAGCAGCCGCGGUAAUACGUAGGGUGCGAGCGUUGUCCGGAAUUAUUGGGCGUAAAGGGCUCGUAGGCGGUUUGUCGCGUCGGGAGUGAAAACACCGGGCUUAACUCGGUGCUUGCUUUCGAUACGGGCAGACUAGAGGCAUGCAGGGGAGAACGGAAUUCCUGGUGUAGCGGUGAAAUGCGCAGAUAUCAGGAGGAACACCGGUGGCGAAGGCGGUUCUCUGGGCAUGUCCUGACGCUGAGGAGCG